rnacentral:rRNA from 1 species
AACGAACGCUGGCGGCAUGCCUAACACAUGCAAGUCGAACGAGACCUUCGGGUCUAGUGGCGCACGGGUGCGUAACGCGUGGGAACCUGCCCUUAGGUUCGGAAUAACUCCCCGAAAGGGGUGCUAAUACCGGAUAAUGUCUUCGGACCAAAGAUUUAUCGCCUUUGGAUGGGCCCGCGUUGGAUUAGCUAGUUGGUAGGGUAAAAGCCUACCAAGGCGACGAUCCAUAGCUGGUCUGAGAGGAUGAUCAGCCACACUGGGACUGGGACACGGCCCAGACUCCUACGAGAGGCAGCAGUGGGGAAUAUUGGACAAUGGGCGAAAGCAUGAUCCAGCAAUGCCGCGUGAGUGAUGAAGGCCUUAGGGUUGUAAAGCUCUUUUACCCGGGAUGAUAAUGACAGUACCGGGAGAAUAAGCUCCGGCUAACUCCGUG